rnacentral:rRNA from 1 species
GUGUCAGCAGCCGCGGUAAUACGUAGGUGGCAAGCGUUGUCCGGAAUUAUUGGGCGUAAAGCGCGCGCAGGCGGUCCUUUAAGUCUGAUGUGAAAGCCCACGGCUCAACCGUGGAGGGUCAUUGGAAACUGGGGGACUUGAGUACAGAAGAGAAGAGUGGAAUUCCACGUGUAGCGGUGAAAUGCGUAGAGAUGUGGAGGAACACCAGUGGCGAAGGCGACUCUUUGGUCUGUAACUGACGCUGAGGCGCGAAAGCGUGGGGAGCAAACAGGAUUAGAUACCCCUGUAGUCC